rnacentral:rRNA from 1 species
AGUGAACGCUGGCGGUAGGCCUAACACAUGCAAGUCGAACGGCAGCACAGUAAGAGCUUGCUCUUGCGGGUGGCGAGUGGCGGACGGGUGAGGAAUACAUCGGAAUCUACUUUUUCGUGGGGGAUAACGUAGGGAAACUUACGCUAAUACCGCAUACGACCUACGGGUGAAAGCAGGGGAUCUUCGGACCUUGCGCGAUUGAAUGAGCCGAUGUCGGAUUAGCUAGUUGGCGGGGUAAAGGCCCACCAAGGCGACGAUCCGUAGCUGGUCUGAGAGGAUGAUCAGCCACACUGGAACUGAGACACGGUCCAGACUCCUACGGGAGGCAGCAGUGGGGAAUAUUGGACAAUGGGCGCAAGCCUGAUCCAGCCAUACCGCGUGGGUGAAGAAGGCCUUCGGGUUGUAAAGCCCUUUUGUUGGGAAAGAAAAGCAGCAGGUUAAUACCCCGCUGUUCUGACGGUACCCAAAGAAUAAGCACCGGCUAACCUCGUG